GGACCUUUUUCUUAGUGGCCAGUUGGGGUCUUCAGCCACAGGAGAGCGCGAGUCCCAGGCGAAGUGGGGCAGAGGCAGGGGCCCCACUGAGUCUCGGCCCGGUCCUGGGGGCCCUGAUGCCGAUGGGCUUUCCCCUCCCGGGGGGCUCAAGUCUCCUGGGCAGUUUUGUAUGGGACAGACCAAUCUCCUGGAUGGCAGACAAGCUGAGCGUGCUGGGCCCCUUCUCCUCCCUGGCUCCCUUUCUCCGUCCCACGGGGGCUUGGGCUCCCAGGGUUCUCUGAGCCCUUUAGCCCUGCCAAGCUACCUUUCCUGUGUGCACACGAGGCACCCCGCAGAGGACCUGCCAAGGCUGCCCACCCACUGGUCCUCCCAUGAAAACAGAGGCUGAAUCAGAAGAGACGGGGAGGCAGGCGCAACGAGAAGGAAACCUGGGUGCUUUUACUCCUCUGACAGCAGAGAACAGAGAGGGCCCACAGGCAAAGGUUUCUGGCACAGGGAUCCCGGACGGUCCCCUUGGAUGGGGCCUGAGAAAUAGAUCCUUGUUGAAUUGACCUUUGACCAGUGGAGGGGGUCUGUCCCGAAAUUGGGGGGCAGAGUACUGGCUGGAAGCCUGGGUCUCCACCCUCCUCCCCACCCCCAGGACCUCUCGCUUCAGGUCCCUGAUCCCACCCUGCCCAGGCAGAGCCCCAAGAGGCAAAGUCUGGGCUGGGAGCCUCUGACCCCCUUCCCGGCCCAACUCAAACGGGAUCCUCAGGGCUUCUUUCCAGGGACAGGCCACAGGGAACCCAGCCCCCAGCCCCCCGCCCCCCCCCGAGUCAGGGCAAAACUGCUCAGUGACAUCAGAGGAGCAAGAGGAGGUGGCUUGGCCUGGGGUGGGCCCAGCCAGGCACUGUGGAGGAAAAGACCCCUGGGCUUGGGCAGCCGGGAAGCUCUGGGAUCUCCCCCCCAGCAGUUCAGGCUGUGGGCAGUGGGCAGCUCAGGUGCCCAGCUCCCGCCGCAGCUUGACGAUCUCCAGGACCAGUUUCUCCUUUUCCAGGAGAAUCUUCUCUUUCUGCAGUUGCAGCGUUUCCUUUUGCAGCUCCAGUAUCUCCGUCUGGAGGCGACUCUGCUUGGCCACUUCCCCAGAAUCCUUCUCUGGCAGCCCCUCCUCGCUGGGCCGGGGGCCGGGCAGCAAGUCCUCCUCCGCGGUCACCACCGAGGCGCUCACUGAGGGAGAACAAUGGAAAAGGGGGAGGAGAGACAAGGAAGUCAAAGAGGAGGGGAGCCUGGCCGGCCUAACUGGGAGAGGAGAGCAUGGGAUAUAAGGGGACAUGGGAGAAGCAGCAGAUCGGACCAGAGGAUGCUGGGACCCUGGACUGCAAGAUGGUGGGACCCUGGAUGGGAAGACCACUUGGACCCUGGCCACAUUUGCAGCCCAGCAGCAAGCACUAGAGCUGGAAGCAGAGGAUCUGGGGUCAAGCGCCAGGUCCAGCACUUUCCUCUUGUCACUGGCAGGAUGGUACAGUGGGAAAACCCCCUCUCCUUGGAGUCACAACAUCUGGAUUCAGAUUCCCCGCCUCUCCCCCACACUGUGGAAUGCUGGGGCUCGGUUCCCUUCUUCACAAAAGGGCAGCCCCGGACUCCACUGGCUCUCAGAUGCUUUCCAGUGCUAAAUCCGGGAUCCCAGUGAGUCAGUGAGUCCCGGCAGGUGACAGGCUCAAGGUCACCAGUUCCCAGGCAGGCAAAAGGGACCAAACAAAUGGCCCCAGAAGGGAUGAGGCUGGAGGCUGUGGCUUGGGACACGCCCACCCUGGGCUCCAUCUGUGGGCGGGGUCUGCUCUAAGUGCUUGUUCAAUCAGGGAAAGCCACAGGCUGGGGGUGGCAGACAAAGGAGCUCUGUGGCUCCAGGGUGCCGCCGCCAUCCCCUCCCUCCUCUCUUCAGACACUCAGAGAUGGCUCCUAAUUGGCAUCGGGCCCAGGUCUCCCUCCCCUGCAAAGGGACCAGAGUUAUCUGUCACUGCUCCGCGGAGGGCCGGCCCAUGCCCGGGCCCUGUGGUUUCUGCCAGCCCUGCUUGGUGGGAGCCUUGCCCAGCUCUGCCCAGGCCCCCAACACAGUUUCUAUGGCCCCAAGUGUCUGUGAUCCCCCUGGGCUCCCUGGGAACGCUGGGAGUCAGAGAACCUCAUUAGGCCUCAGAAGAGGCCUCUGAGGUCCCAAUGUUCCAUCUUUGGUGCCUCCGCCAUGUUCACGGGCAAGUCCUCUAGAGGGGAAAGUCAGUCCUUUUGGAAGGAGAGCAGACCAACAUCACUCAGAGGAGGAGGGGGGAUGUCCCGGCUGGCUUGGCUCCCGGCCUCCCCGUCUCCAUUCUGCUCACACUCGAGUCCAUCCCCCACAGAGUGGGCAGGUAACUAUCACCUCCCUGCUCAACAACCUCCCAGGCCCCACAGCUCCCCAAAUUACUGGUCUUGCCCUUUAAGGUCCCUGGGAUCAGCCUUCCCGUGGUGGCUUCUCCCCACCUGGGCCCUCUCCCUGGCACCCCCAGCACCUCGGACAGAGCCAGCCAGCACAGGGCACUCCGGGCUCCGCUUCCCGCUUCCACGCGAUGUUCCACAUAAAUCGCAUGGGCGUGGGGCGCUGGGCACAGGGUGCGGGGCACGGGGUGCGGGCAGGGACGGCUGAUGCUUGUGGAGAGCGUGAACCAGAGUGGGCAGUCAUGGGCUCUCCCUCAGCCUGUCCUUGGGGAUCCACCAGGGUGACUCCUUCUAAUGGCCCCAAAUCAUCCCUGCCCGGAGUCCAGCCCAGGCCACUAUGUCGGCCCUGGCUUGUCCGGGAUCUGCCCAGCACCCCCCUCCUCUGUGUUGUACCGUUCCUUCCCCCCUCCCCCUUGCCCCAGGCUGGGAGUGACUCCAAGUGGAGCAGGAAUGCUGGGAUCUCUGGGCAGGAAGCAUCCACCGCCCUUCACAACUGCACGCGAAUCUCCUUCCCGACAGGCGGCAAGGGGGCACCCGCCGCCUGGUGGAGGGAAACCAGCACCCGUGGGGAGGGGGCGCCUUCCCCUGGGGACGCGCUCAUCGGUGGGGAAGGCUUCCCUGCACUUCCUACCCAACGCUACAAAAUCUUCCAACUGACUGCGUGAGGUUUUCAGGGCUCUCCCAAACCUGCCUCUGCUGGAAGUGCACAGCCACGCACUGGCCAGAUUUCAGCGCGUCUGGAGGGGAGACGCCCCGUUUCUGGCCCCCCACCCCCGGCCCGCUCCACUGCACUUCAGCACCCCCCAAGUGAUGAGCUCGCCGGCUUCACGUGCGCACACCCAAGGUUCCCGGCAUGCACUGCGCCUGAUUCUGCGGGGAAGAGGAGUCCUGAUCUGUCUCCCCUCUCUUCUUCCUCCACCCCCCCCCACUUUCUGGUAUCCAUGUUGACACAUCCUGCAACGGGCCUCUCUGUGGAAUGGGGGCGAGGUUGGCGACCUGCAGAACUCCCUCCCAGGCAAGGAAGAGCUGUCCGCAGUGCCGAGACCCAGGCCCUCCUGUGGACUUCCCAACACUUUUCUCAGUGACUUGGAUGAAGCUGCACCACACCCUUAUGUCUCUGGAGCCAAACUCCUGGAAAAGGCCUCUGGAUCCUCUCACACUCAGGGACAGUUCCAGCUUCCGACAUCACCGUUCCCCAAAGGGAUCCCUUAGGUGCUACAGCCAGUAGCCUUUUCUCCACCCUCCUGCUCCCUGCCUCUGUGCAGUCUGCAGCAUGCCCGGUAUACAGCAGCCUCCUCCAUCAGAUCACAAGCUCCCCGAGGCAGGAACUGGGCUCUUUUCGUAUCCUUGGGAGCCAGGACAGCGCCUGACCUUAGUGGUGCUUAAUAAAUGCUGGCCAAUGGACUGAUCGUUCCAUCUCGGAAUGGAGCCCGGGCUGCAGGAAGAGGAGGUGAUUGUCCUGCUGGGAUCCUCAGCCUUCAUCAAGUGCCCCUCAGUUUAAGAGAGGCACCGAGAAGCUGAGAGUCCAGAGGGGACGGCCAGGAUGGUGGAGGGCCUGGGCUCUGUGUCAUGGAAGGAUCAGCUGAAGGAACUGGGCAGGUUUCCCCCAACAAAGACUCGGGGCAGGGCAUGCACAUGGAGCUCCAGUACCUGAAGGGACAUGCUUUGGCUGUGGUAAAGCUCAAGGAAGCUGGCUGGAGAGAAACGCCCCCUCACAAUCACAGCUGUGCCAUAUCGGGGCCUGACGUGCCAGGGAGGUGGUGGGUGCCACCGAUUAAUGUUACAUGUAAUGGCGGGGCCUCCUCCCUCUCACCAACAGUCCCCUCUGUCCAGGUCCCUUCCCUGAUUCUGCAACACCGGCCCCUCAGGGGCCGCUAGGGAUGGCCCGAGCCUGUCACGGGAGCAGCAGAGAGUGGACGGUGAUUCCCGAGGGCACAUGAACCAGGGUCGCCGAUUUGGAGGCAGCAGAGAAGCUGAAGGAAGCCGGGGGCAUCGCAGUGCCAGACUGAAGACUCCUCUUCCCAAGUUCAAAUCCUGCCUUAGACACUCACCAGCUAUGUGAUGCUGGGCUAAUCCCCAAACCCAUUAGCAAUUUCUGCCAAGAGAACCCCAAAUGGGAUCGUGAAGAGUCGGAUGCAACUGAAAAAUGACUGUCGGGAGAGAAUAAUCCAACCUUGAAUCUGAUCCUUUCCCAAACAUCCUGACCUAAGACCUCCGGGAAGCUCCCGCCUGCCUGGGACAGCUCUGAUCCUCAGGGAACUUUUCCUCUCGUCCCCUCCGCGUUCUGUCCCCCGGGGCCAAGGAGCACAAGGCCCGAGCUAUCUGUAAAGUGCUGAGCACGGAGCCUGGUACACAGUGGUGCUAUAAAAGCUUAUUCCCUCCCCUUCCAAUCCUUAGCCCAUGGAGAUCCCUUUUUUCUCUCUCCCGGCUUUGACACGUGAAGGGAGGGGAAGUAAGCAUGGCUGACCUGCCUCCAUCCAAGUCAUUAACAAAUGUGCGGGUCAGAUGCCCAGCGCACCCCCUCCAAGAAAGGGCUCACUCUAGAGCACGGCCAAAGCUUUCACCGAUGGCAUCAGAAUUAGAGCACAUUCUUUUUGGUGAGAAAACUGAGGGUCAGAGUGGUCCCAGAGCCUGCUCUGGCUGGGUCACUGAGCUACACAGUGUCAACGCCAGGAUUUUCUCAGACAGGGCCAGGAUCACCGACAGGGAGACUGGCGAGAGCCAUGGGGCCGGGGGGAGCUCACAGCACUUAGCAAUGUGUCUGAACGUCACAGCUUCCCCCCAAAUGUGGCCUGGGUCAAACCUGAGCCUGGACUCUAUGAAGACUGGUUCUCUUGAGCAACGACCACCAAGAAGGGCAGGGUACGGACAAAAAGAAUCUCUUUAUUUGAAAUGAGAGAGUUUCCUCAAGGAAAUUUCUUUAGCCUCUCCUUUUCCCAUCAUCGCCACCCCCGACAGCCCAUUUUUCAGACUGCUGAUGGACAACUGGUAAGAAACGGGGAAUUAUUGUUUCCUGUCUAACUCUAUGUUUCUUUCUAUCAAACCAGUUUGGUGAGAAGUGGAAAUGGCAACGAUCCCAGAGGGAGAAGACCUGGGCUCUGACACCUUGUGGUGGGACCUCGGGCAAUCACAGCCUCGGUUUCCUCAUCUGUCAGACCAAGGGAUAACCCUAAAGGACCCAAGAGCCGAGGGCCCUCCUCUCGGGGCCCCAUUUCUAAGGGACCUCACUAGGCUUAAAUAAGGCCAGAGAGGGCGCGGGAUGCUCACCGUUGUCGGUCAUGGCGGUGUGGAUUCCUUCCGUGCUCAGAGGGUCCAAGCGGCCACUGGGCGUGACGGGGCUGGCGCUCACUGCCAAGCAGGGCCAGUCUAGCAAGGGGCUGACGGGGCAUUUAAUCUUAUAUGUCAGAGCCGGGUCCGGGGACGGGCUCGCGGGGACCGGCAUCGUGCAGAGGUGGGGCAGGUCCCCGGGAGGGCCCUCGGGCGAGACGGCCCCGCCGGCCGCGGCGGGAUGCACCUGGGCCACGGGCUCGCAGUGCAGGGGCAAGUCCUUCAGCGGGUCAAGCAGCCUCUUCUCACCGUAGUCGGAGGCAUCUUCGGUCAGGGCGUCCUCCUUGAAUCGGGCCUGGACGUCCACGGGGGACGGGAGGAGGCUCUUCCCCGAGACCUCGGGCCAAGAGUCCAGCUUCCUGCUGACCUCAAUCUGACAGAGACCCUCCCUCUCCUGGCCGGGCUCCAUGGCGGCGCCCUGGGGCCGGAGCACCAGGCCGGGGUCCAGAAAGCCUUCCACCUUGCAGGCGGGCUCGGAGGGGCUGGGGGGACCUUUAGUCCGAAAGCCGGGGCCCGCCGCGUACAGCGGCUCGGGGAGCUCGGAGCCCGUCUUGUUGAACAGGGCAAAGAUGUUGUGGAAGAGGCGCUCCUGGGGGCGCCGCCGCAGCAGGGGGUGCUUGGCGGUGGCCAGCUCCUUGCGGGCGUCCAGGAUCAUGUUCUUCCACUUCUUGCGGACCUCUUCGGGCGUGCGCUGGACGAGGGGGUUCAGCGAGUUCACGGCCAUCGUGAUCUCCUCCCAGGCCCGCUGCCGGUCCGUCGUGUUGCGGUAGCGGCCAGUCUUGGGGAUGAGGAUGUCCUUGCGCAGGCUGAACUCUUCCAGGAUCACAAUCUUCUCUUCCUCGGAAAACUUAAUUCUCUUUGGCUUGGCUGUCAUCAUGGUGACCCUGAAAAAAACCCAGCCCGUCAUGCCCAAGCCCGCGCCGCCCCACGGAUGGCCGCCCGGGGACCUCCCCUGGGGAACCUCGCAGCCCCAAGGCCCAGGACCGGCCCCCUCCCGGCCCGGCCCCCCCAGCUGGCCUGGCCAUGUCCCGGCGGCUCCCACCCCCGUGCGCUCCCUGCCUCCCGGGCAUCCUGGGGGGGGCCCUGCCCCCUCGGAGGGGUUGGGGUCCCCCGGGACCCGCAGACCGGGGCGGGGGGGGGGGCUCCCUGGAGGUCACCCUCCCUGCUCUGAGACCUCCCUGACCGCCUCCCCCACCUCCCCCGGGACCUGUUCCUGGCCACGCCCCCGGGCGGGCGCCCCGAUGUUCCAGCCUCUGGGAGGGGACCCCUCGCGGGGCACACGGGUCUCCCUUUGGGGUCGUGCGCCGGGCGGCGCUUCCUCUCCUCCCAGGCUGGGGAAGGGGGGGGCGGGGCGCCGGGCCCCAGACCCGAGUUCCAAUCCGACCUCCGACCCGGGCGCGCUGCGGGACCCUGGGCAAGCCUGUUCGCGCCUCAGUUUCCCCAUCUGUACAAUGGGGGCCACAGCCGCACCUACCUCCCAGGGUGGCUGCGAGGGUCGCAUAGACCAGGACGAGGCCGGCCGAGCCCUCCCUCGGGGUGCGGCGCCGGGCCUCCGUCGGUGGCCGGGCCGGGGCCCGCCGCGCACACGCGCGCGCCCUCCCAACCCGCCCGAGGCCGGGGCACCCGCCCCCACCAGUGGCCGCGGAGGCGGCUCCCAGCCGGUGUCCGGGCUGCGCGCGGCGAUGACGUCACGGCGACGCCAUCGCUCUGCGCCGACGACCUCCGGACACCGGGCGGGGCGGGCGCGGUUGCCCGGGGAACGGGGAGGCGUGACCGGAGGUCACGUGCUCCCGAGCGGCGACGGCGGCUCCCCGGAGCCAAUCCUCUCAUUCCCGCGGGCGCAGGAGGCGCCCCCGGCCUGUGGGCCACGCCUCCCCCUCCCCGUGACGCGCUCCCGGUCUGUCCGGUCCCCCGCAUUUAUUAAACCCUGACCGUGGGACACAAACUGUGUGAAGCCCCGGGGAAACCGAGGCGAAGGCGGGCCCCGCCCCCGGGGAGCCCCGUGUAACUGGGGGGGGGAGAGGGGGAGGGGGAGCGCCUGCCAAUCAGCCCCGUCCGGAGCAGCCGUCAGGGAAGGGCCGGAGCCGAGAGAUGGGGGAGGAGGCGGGGAGGGCUCAGCACCAGCCAGAGCCUUCGCGUCUGACCCCGGAGGCGACAGGGCCACGUCUGUGCUUCGGGAAGAUCAGUUUGACGUGGCCGGGGGUGGGGGGGGGGGCUUGGAUCGGACCGGGGACGGAGCCAGGGGCAGGGAGGACCGAGCACAAAGCUAUCGCCCAGAGUCAGGAGUGAACAGAGCUUUAUGUCACAGCCACAGACACAUGCAAAUGUGUGCCCAGCGCAAACCCACACCCGCCCGGAUGGGGAAUGUUUCGAGUUCGCGGGACUCGGAGAUAGGCCGACCCCGCGCUGUGAGCUCGGAGACGAAGGAAAAGUUAGGGCGGGCUCCGGUUUGGCCCUUUGGGAUGUCUGCGGGACAUCCGAGCCGGGGCAGGCAAUCAGGGCUCCCCGACUGGAAAAAUCAGCCCGGGAGUAUCCAGUUUGGAGAUCCCGCCGGACAGGGAGGUCGCCAGUCUGAGGAGUCUACGGUAGCGUCGGGCGGAAGGGAGAAGCGGCGGAACGGCCGGGAGCACUGUGUAUUUCCUUCUCUGUGUAUACACCGUCCCCCGUCCCGGUAGAAGGGAAGCUUUCUUUUCGAGCUGAAUCCCCAGCCCCUUGCAGCGUGUCUUCCAGAGCAAGGGCUUCGUACAUGGGGGGUGGACCGAAUCCUAUGCGCUAGCCAAAAAUAAAACGGGCCGUGCCCCUGCCCCUUCUCCGUUUGCCUCCCGUUCUCCCGGGCUCUUUCUGCUGCCGUCAGCAUUUAUUAAGUGCCUGGGGUAUGCCAGGGAGUGUGAGUAAGUGCACUAAACACCACGAAAGAGGAAACGGUCUCCAGGCACGGAGCACCGUCCAACGGCAAACAACUACGUGCAAACAAGGUGUAGCCGGUCGGCAGGAGGAGGAGCCCUCCCGGAGCCUCGGCCUCCUCCCGGGGUCCCUGUCCCUCCUUCCCCGGCACCGGGACCCGCUGGGCGCAGGCUUCUUCGAAGCCCGGUGACUCUUUCUGGGGCCCUCGGUCUCAUCCCGGUGUCUCCACUAGUGGGCGGUUCGGAUCCGGUCCCAGGCGGCCUCGGGCAGCCCGCCCUCCCCCUCCCGGCGGUCCAGCUCCUCCCUCUCCCUCCUCCCUUCCAGCAGCCUCGGCUCCCCGCCCCUCCCCGGGUCGCAGCCCUCCGAGCCGCUGGGGGCGCUGUCCGGGAUCGCGGACACGUCCAGGCGCCGGCGGGGGGGGAAGGCCGCGCUCGGUGGCCCGGAAGCCGGCGCGGAGCCGGGAGUGCGUGCCGGAGGCUCGCUCCCCGCCGAUCACGGACCCGCCGGAGACCUCUCCACAGCCAGGGGCCGCCGCCGCCGCCGCCUCCAUGGGCGCCGAACACCAGACCCGCCUCUGCCUGGCCAGCUGCGGCCCCGCCACGCCGCCCGCCCUGCUAGAACUGCUGCGCAUGCUCCAACGAUUCUCCGGGUGAGCCGGGCCCCGCCCCC
ensembl:lncRNA